rnacentral:rRNA from 1 species
GUAUACGACCGUACCGCAAACCGACACUGGUGCGCGAGAUGAGUAUUCUAAGGCGCUUGAGAGAACUCAGGAGAAGGAACUCGGCAAAUUGACACCGUAACUUCGGAAGAAGGUGUGCCCUAUUAGUGUGUAGUGAACAACGAAGCAUGAAUGGGUUGCAAAGAAUCGGUGGCUGCGACUGUUUAUUAAAAACACAGCACUCUGCAAACACGAAAGUGGACGUAUAGGGUGUGACGCCUGCCCGGUGCUGGAAGAUUAAAUGAUGGGGUGCAAGCUCUUGAUUGAAGUCCCAGUAAACGGCGGCCGUAACAAUAACGGUCCUAAGGUAGCGAAAUUCCUUGUCGGGUAAGUUCCGACCUGCACGAAUGGCGUAACGAUGGCCACACUGUCUCCUCCUGAGACUCAGCGAAGUUGAAAUGUUUGUGAUGAUGCAAUCUCCCCGCGGAAAGACGGAAAGACCCCAUGAACCUUUACUGUAGCUUUGUAUUGGACUUUGAACAGAUCUGUGUAGGAUAGGUGGGAGGCUUUGAAGCAGGGUCGCUAGAUCUUGUGGAGCCAACGUUGAAAUACCACCCUGGUGUGUUUGAGGUUCUAACCUAGGUCCAUUAUCUGGAUCGGGGACAGUGCAUGGUAGGCAGUUUGACUGGGGCGGUCUCCUCCCAAAGCGUAACGGAGGAGUUCGAAGGUACGCUAGUUACGGUCGGACAUCGUGACGAUAGUGCAAUGGCAUAAGCGUGCUUAACUGCGAGACUGACAAGUCGAGCAGAUGCGAAAGCAGGACAUAGUGAUCCGGUGGUUCUGUAUGGAAGGGCCAUCGCUCAACGGAUAAAAGGUACUCUGGGGAUAACAGGCUGAUACCGCCCAAGAGUUCAUAUCGACGGCGGUGUUUGGCACCUCGAUGUCGGCUCAUCUCAUCCUGGGGCUGUAGCCGGUCCCAAGGGUAUGGCUGUUCGCCAUUUAAAGAGGUACGUGAGCUGGGUUUAAAACGUCGUGAGACAGUUUGGUCCCUAUCUUCCGUGGGCGCUGCAGAUUUGAGGAAGCCUGCUCCUAGUACGAGAGGACCGGAGUGGACACACCUCUGGUGUAUCGGUUGUCACGCCAGUGGCAUUGCCGAGUAGCUAAGUGUGGAGGAGAUAGCCGCUGAAAGCAUCUAAGCGGGAAACUCGUUUCAAGAUGAGAUCUGCCGGGGCCUUGAGCCCCCUAAAGAGUCGUUCAAGACCAGGACGUUGAUAGGUCAGGUGUGGAAGC